rnacentral:rRNA from 1 species
GUGGUGGCACAAAAUCGGAAGCCCCGACUGUUUACUAAAAACACAGCUAUCUGCAACGAUGUAAAUCAUAGUAUAGGUAGUGAGGUUUGCCCGAUGCCAUUAAUAUAAGAGAAGUGAUGGGUAACUGUUAAUUAUCGAAAAUCUGGUUAAUAGCGGUCUUAACUAUGAGGAUCCUAAGGUAGCAAAAUAAAUUGGCCAUUAAAUGUGGUCCGGUAUCAAUAAUUUAACGAUGGCUUCACUGUCUCUACAACUUGCUCAGUGAAAUUGAAUUACCCGUG